rnacentral:rRNA from 1 species
AUGGCCUCGUUCCAAGCAAUACCUUCAGGAAGGAAUGCGGCGACGAUAUCGCUGCUGCCCGGCCUAAGACUAGGGUUUCCCCCGGUACGCGGGGGGCAAUGGGGAAAUGGGUGUAUCCGACGCCCUUCAGGAAGGUCCGAUGGUGCCCGCAGGCGUCACCGCGUCGGUGUGGCCGAGCCAGCAGGGAGUUCUCCCGACCCAAAACCACCACUGCCACCCCAGACGAUUCGAAGUGCACCAUCCAACCAGCCGCCCACCGGCAUGUGCCACCACGGUCACCGGACCAAAUUCGUCGUCGCUCAGAGAUCACCGAUACGAGGCCUGGAGGAUGGACGAGGAGAUAACGGGCUCAGGGGCAUCCGCAACUCAGCCGACGGGAGGGUACGGCUUCCACCGCCGCCGUGA